CACAAAAAUUAUAUUAGAUUUUGAUUUUCAAUAAAUUUGACAAAAUUACCAUCGUACAGGCACUACAGACCUGUAUAAACUGAUAUUGAAAAAAAUUAUACAUCAUAGGCACCGAUUUUGAAAUAUAUAUCGUUACGAAUCGAUAGGACAAUAGAACUAAUGUAUGCGUAAUUUUAAAUACAAAUUAUUAUUAUUAUUAUUAUUUUUUUUUUUUUUAAAAACCGACAAUGUUUAACGAAUCGUCACAAUACAAACGCGCGGGCGGUGAUUGUUCGCGUUCGG